CCUACGGGCGGCAGCAGUGAGGAAUAUUGGUCAAUGGGCGCAGGCCUGAACCAGCCAAGCCGCGUGCAGGAAGACUGCUCUAUGGGUUGUAAACCUCUUUUAUAAAGGAGGAAUAAUGACUACGUGUAGUCAGAUGCCCGUACCUUAUGAAUAAGCAUCGGCUAACCCGGUGCCAGCUGCCGCGGUAAUACGGAGGAUGCGAGCGUUAUCCGGAUUUAUUGGGUUAAAGGGGUGGGUAGGCGGUAUAUUAGGUUAAGGGUAAAACGUCGGGGCUAAACCUUUAUUCGCCAUUAAAACUGGAGUUCUAGAGUACAGACGAGGUAGGCGGAAUAAGUGAAGUAGCGGUGAAAUGCUUAGAGAUCAAGUAGAACACCGAUAGCGAAGGCAGCUUACCAGACUAUAACUGACGCUGAAGCACGAGAGCGUGGGGAGCGAACAGGAUUAGAUACCCGAGUAGUC
rnacentral:rRNA from 1 species